rnacentral:misc_RNA from 1 species
GGCCUUCAUUUCAGAGUCAGUUUGGAUUCCUUGCAUAACACCCUAAAAAUUCACUGCAAUUGGCUUCAGCAAGCGGGGUUGGGGUGCAUUUUGCAGCCAAUGAAGAUCUGCUGGGUGGCACCAGGAGAUGCAAUUAAAUACUAGCUAACCUACACCUGGCUGCAUCACGGGAAAGGACCAAUUCUUGCCGGCUCCAUCCUCCUUCCCAACAUCACUUUCACUUCCAUUAGCCCACCAGCCUGGACCAGUAUUAGGCUUAUGGGAAUCUCCUCCAUCAGCCAUCAGCAUUAUCAAAGUUGAAUUCUUUAAGAGAGCCAAGAGUUAUGGAUCGAUGCUUCUGAUGUCGUGGUGCCUUCUCCUCAUCUGUUGAAGUCAUCUCUGGUGUGUCAUUAGAUGUUUCACCAACACCGGACUCAAAAUUAUUCAUUAUUUCAGUAUAGUUUACUUCUUUUGCAGCUGUUGUUCCAUUUUCGAUAAAGACUGGCACGACUUUUACAGGGCAUGAUGGCUUCUCUUCUACACAUCUCAAGACAUCUUCAGCAGUUAAUUCAAAAGAGACUCUACGGUCAGUAAUUUCAUCAUUCUGGUUUCUAUUGUUCGAAUGUGAUUGUGAUACAAAAUCAGAAAAUUGAUGAUCCUGAGGAAAGGUGCAAGAUGCAGGCCUUGCAGCAUCUGGGGUCAAAGUUCC